rnacentral:rRNA from 1 species
GAUGAACGCUAGCGAUAGGCUUAACACAUGCAAGUCGAGGGGCAGCAUGGUCUUAGCUUGCUAAGACUGAUGGCGACCGGCGCACGGGUGCGUAACGCGUAUGCAACUUGCCUCACAGAGGGGGAUAACCCGUCGAAAGACGGACUAAUACCGCGUACACUCUAUUUUGGGCAUCCAAGGUAGAGGAAAUGAAAUUCGCUGUGAGAUAGGCAUGCGUCCCAUUAGCUAGUUGGUGAGGUAACGGCUCACCAAGGCGACGAUGGGUAGGGGAACUGAGAGGUUGAACCCCCACACUGGUACUGAGACACGGACCAGACUCCUACGGGAGGCAGCAGUGAUGAAUAUUGGUCAAUGGGCGAGGGCCUGAACCAGCCAAGUCGCGUGAAGGAUGACUGUCUUAUGGAUUGUAAACUUCUUUUGUAGGGGAAUAAAGAGGGGCACGUGUGCCCCAGUGAAUGUACCCUACGAAUAAGCAUCGGCUAACUCCGUG